rfam:Dipodomys ordii contig_68283, whole genome shotgun sequence.
GGGAAUGUGGCUUAGUGGUAGAGUGCUUGCCUUAUAUGCAUGAAGCUCUGGGUUCAAUUCCUCAGUACCA